UUCGCCCUUGGUUGAUCCUGCCGGAGGUCACCGCUAUUGGAAUCCGCUUAAGCCAUGCGAGUCGAGAGGGUUCGGCCCUCGGCAUACCGCUCAGUAACACGUGGACAAUCUGCCCUCAGGUGGGGGAUAAUCUCGGGAAACUGAGAAUAAUACCCCAUAGGCCCCAUAUGCUGGAACGCUUUGGGGUCGAAAGCUCCGGCGCCUGAGGAUGAGUCUGCGGCUCAUCAGGUUGUAGUGAGUGUAACGGACUCACUAGCCGACAACGAGUACGGGCCUUGGAAGAGGUCGCCCGGAGAUGGACUCUGAGACACGAGUCCAGGCCCUACGGGGCGCAGCAGGCGCGAAAACUUCGCAAUGUGGGAAACCACGACGAGGGGAUUCCGAGUGCUCAUGGAAUUCCAUGGGCUGUUUUUAUGCCUAAAAAGCAUAGAGAGUAAGGGCUGGGUAAGACGGGUGCCAGCCGCCGCGGUAAUACCCGCAGCUCGAGUGGUGAUCGGUUUUAUUGGGCCUAAAGCGUCCGUAGCCUGUUCAGUAAAUCCUUGGGUAAAUCGGGCAGCUUAACUGUCCGACUUCUGGGGAGACUGCUGAACUUGGGACUGGGAGAGGUAGGAGGUACUCCGGGGGUAGAGGUGAAAUUCUGUAAUCC
rnacentral:rRNA from 1 species